UAUCCAGCUUUUCUCUUGUCUUUCUUUCCUUUUUCUAAAUCAGUGCCACUGGUCUGACAGCAGACACGAUGAAGAUGAUGACAUUCUUCAUUGUGGGACUCAUGUAGUCCAUGUAGUCUUCUUUCUCUCAAUAUUUGACAUUUAUCUCAAAUCCCCUCUCAUCCAUGGAAUGACAAUACAGCGUAUCCCUCUGGCCCCUCCGACCAAGCGCCUGGUGCUCUUUGUGGCAGAUGGUCAAAGAGGUGAAAGUCUCUUAUAAACCAGAUGACAAUGGGACAGUCAGGGCUCCUUACCUAAGGAGUGUGAUUGAGGAGAGUGGCAGAUAGGGAGUGUCUCACACAGAAUCACACAGACUCCCAACAGAAUCACACCCAGGUCACGUGGCUCAAAUAGCAGGUUUUUAUGAGGAUGUUAGUGCUGUUGCCAAGGGUAAGCAGCAGUUGCAUGUGUGUUUCUGUAUAACCUUUAAUUGCAUUACUUAUUUCCGUGCUUACAGGCUGGAAGGAAAAUCCAGUGGAGUUUGAUUCUGUUUUUAAUGAGAGCAGGCAUUCCUGGUGUUUGGGAAGUCCUGAUAUAUUACAGAUGUUUGCUAAAGGAGCCACUGGAGACCAUGUAUACACUCACACUUACAUCCAGAGCGAGAGGACUUUGCCUCCACUGAUGCUUCCAGACUUGAUACAUGGGGAUUUGAUGAAGUUAAGGGAUUAUCUGGAGAACAUUGUCCUGGUAGAUGCUGGUGUCGCUGAAAUGGUCACUAUGAUGGACGACUUUUAUGGGCAUAAUAGAAAAACGGCUUAUAUUUUUACGUCCGAUCAUGGCAUGACAAAUUGGGGAUCUCACGGUGUGGGACAUCCAUCAGAAACGCUGAGGCGCUUGGGGCGCUGGGGUUCAGACAGCACAACGGGAGAGCUCUCACAAAUAUGAUGAUAAUUAUUUAAAAGCUUUGUUUAAUGACUCUUGGAUACUUCCAGGAGAGUGGAUGUCAAUCAGGUGAAAGUGGCAUAGAAGAAAGAAACCGCAAUAUCUUUUCUGUUUACACCCUACCAGUGAGUAAACGUCAGUGCUUAAAUGGGUACUUCACCUAAAAAUAAACAUUCAGUCAUCAUUUGCUUUCUCUCAAGUCUUUUCAACCCUGUAUGACUUACUUUCUUCCUUGGAACCUUCUAAAGGUGUUGGUAUAUAGCUGCUAAGAUCCAUUAUUGUGAAGAUCUGAUAGGGCUGGUCGUAUUAUCACACAUAUGACAGAGUCCUUCUUGGUUUCAUUGUUGGAGCUCUUAUGUGGUUUUGCUCAUCUUGAAGAUGCAUGCCAGCCUACACAAACCUCAAACUAACAUGCACAUGGUAAGCAGGGGAUGUUGUAGUCAUGGUCAUGGUCAUUGCCAUUAAUAUUGAGGUUAGUGGUUUACUGGUAAAUAAAGAUAAAGUUUAAAUAUAUGUCAUUUCCUGUAUGUGUUUGUAUCUGUGGUUUUCGUGGUAACAGGAAGGAGUCUAGGACAGAUGUUUCUGUGUAAAGGUCUACUUGUGGCUCUCUUUUUGUUGAUCCAGGCCAGGCCUUGGACCUACUACAUCUACUGCUUGCUCCCUGUCACGAGGGAGUAAGUUACUCAGCCCUGUUUUUUAUUAAAGUAUUAUUUUGAGAAUUUGUAUAGAUUACAUUUAACAGUUUUAUUAAAUUAUUACUUAAAUGUAACAUUAUAGGAUUAUUGAGCAUGCACAAUUAAAGGGAUAGUCCACCCAAAAAUCUUCCUCUCCAGGAAAGAAUAAAAAAUAUUUUUGAUGAAAUUGGAGAGCUUUCUGUCCCUCCAUAAACAACAAGGGUUGACAGAUACCAGUAAGUUUACAUUUGUUAUCCAAAAACUAUUGUCAUUCUGAUAUAUUGUGAAUGUGUAAUGUUAAUUAAUAAAUAUAAAUUAACUACACAGGCCCAAAAAUUUGCAAAAUUAUUCACAUGACCAAAGACAAAUAAGAAAAUAGGUGCAUUUCACAAAAAUGCUCAGAAAAUCUGUAUUUAUUAAUCAUAUUCAAAUGUUUCAAUACAUUUUAUACCAAGUCAGUUUUUUCCUCCUCAUUAGAUUUUUGGAGAUUGUGUGUUUUCUCUUUGUCACAGAUUUGAAACUCUUGCCGGUCUGGUUCGAGCAAUCCCCUCAUUACAGCUCAGCAAAUGCUUUGGCUAUUUUUUACUGGAAUUGAAGUACUUGUAAGUGCUCGAUAAGCUGUGUGCUAGACAUGGUGAAUGCUGUCGUCUGUGUUUGAGUGUUAGCGCUGUUUUGUACUCUAGUAAUUAGAUGUGUUAACUAUUUCAGUUUUUUUCAUUUCCUGUCUGCUGGUGUUUUUAGGUGGUGAGUUUUUUUCUGUCGGGCCAUGUUGACCUUAGGGCUGCUUGUGCUGGCACUGUGGCCUGUGGUUUCUGGUCUCUACACAAAAGUAAGGUGACUUUUCUAAAGGCCCGUUCUGAUCUGAGGUUUAGAGGAGCAUUUUUUAAUAGUUUUUCUUUUGUAUUUUAUACUGUACUGUAGUUCAAGUCACUGAGCUGGAUUCUGAGCUGUCUGUUUCUGGCUGUGUUUCCUCUGUUGCCUGUGGUGGGAAGAGAACCGGACGUUAACUAUGUGUGAAGCACUCUUUGUUCACUUAGUGAUGCCAAAACCUGUCAUACACAAUCAUUUGUGUUCGUUUUCUUCAUUUAAACUGUUAAACACAUUCAUACACUCUGAUUAGUGAUGCUGAAUGGCAUCAGGAAGGUUUAUCUUCUAAAUGUAAUGUGUUUUACAGUACAAUGUGCGCUGACCCUCUUCAACCCCUGAGUGCUGACACCUUGAACUUGUCUUUAUACCUCUAUACCUGACCCGAAGGGAUCAUCAGCUGUUCAUCUGCCAUGUCAUUUUUGACUCUUUCUCUGUGUCUUUUUUCAUUCUAGGACAUUUUGGUGCAGACAUUUGAGGUCGGAUAUUGGUUCUGAACAGAUUUUUGUGUUAAAUAUUUCCUUGACUUAUCCCUGACAUUUUCUUGAAACAUAUUUUCAUAUUUUUAACAGCACAUUUGCAUGUUUUGUGGUUUUGGUUAAAGGUCACAUGGCAUGCAGGUUUAGUAAGGGCUUCCUUUUAAAUGUUUUUAAAUUAUUUACUUAUUUUUAUGAUUUAAUUUCUUAGUAGACUGCAGUUUCCCCCAUGAACCCCCCCAAGAGAUCCACAAAUUCCAGCUGGGAAGCCCUGUGUUUAAAAAUAGUGAUCCAGGGUACAGUUCUGUAAAGAGCAGGUUCAGAUAAUGCAGGUGAUGCUGUGUGACCAGCACACACUCCAGUCUGCAGCUGAAGCAAGGCUUGCCUCUCUCCUUAACCAGCUUGUUAGCUGGCUUACACUAGGUUCCUCAUUUUUGGUACCGUUGUUGAGUUCCACCAGGCUCUUUCACAGACUUCUGAGUAUCCUGAUGUCCUUAGUUUGUGUCUACCUCCUCCUAAGCACAGGACAAAAGCCACUGACCAUCAAUCUAACGCCAUCAAAUCAUUCAUUUGUAUGUGUCUGUGCUAAGAUUAAAGGUAUGAGGCUCUUUUUCCUCCAGUGCUGUCAUGGCUCAUGUUUGCAUGUAUCAACAUUGAGCAGGAAGCCAUGAACACACAUGGGAGUUCAAAUCAGACUGAGCUCUCCAGCAUUGAUUUUGGUGAAAACAUUGACAUUACUAAGAUCAGGCAGCUGAGGCUGUAUGAUAUUGGGAGAUCUUACUUCUUUGCACUUCUUUUGUCUACAAACUAUUAUUUGUGUCUUUUGAUGAUCUAUUAUACUAUUAUAUAAAUGAUAUAGUUACUUAACUGUUGUAAUAGGUGUUUUUCAUUAUAAUUGCAUUCUUCAGCAGCAUUAACAUUGCCUCUAUUUAUAGGUAGCUGGUCAUUUUGAAGUAAAACAGUGCUAUAAAGUAAACUUCAAUUAUUAUCUUCCCUCACAGUUUUGAUUCAGCCUCAGUUUAUUGCUUUUUGACCAUCUUCAAUUCUUUCAUCAUGGGCGGCCUGCUGAAGUGGCCGUAUAGCACUUCCUCAUCAUACAGUAUCAGAUUGACCCUUUUUUUCUUAAAUUAGUGCCACAUGCACCACAGCUAUUUGUGCUAUUAUGAUUUGUUAAUUAUUGCAUCCUCUUGUAGGUAUUAAUUUUAUUUGUAAUUGUGAUGUGCACUUUCGAAAGCAUUCAAGUGCCAACUCAGCUCUCAUCUUAGCAGAAUAAAUAAAACGGCAGGAAACCAACAGGUCUUUCUUUUUUCGCCCACAGUGUUUGCAUACUGACCACUUCUUCAAGCAUUUGCUAUAUUUGUGGCCUUCACAGACACUUCCUUGUUCUUCCGACAACUGGGGUUUGGUAUCUAGUGUACUUGAUUAAAAAACAUAAACCUACAAAGUCCAACAAGGAUAUGUACUGUAUGUUUUGUAUAUAACUUUAUGGUAUUAUUUUGCUUAAGUUUACAUCAAAUCUGCAUUUAUUUUCUUGGCUUUUCCUCUUUGUGCUUGUCAUCUCAGACUCGAGAAAACAAGCACACACAACAUGCAUACAGAACAUGACAAAUAAUAGCAAAAUUAAAUUGCAUAAAAGUAAAAACUUAUCUCUCUUAUUUUUUUCACCAGCACAUAUUUUACUUUAGUGAAGGCUUAUGGAAGCUGGCUUGACGUAGGCAUUAGGUGUGUUAACUGUAUUGUACUUUGUUUUAGCUUCCAUUCUUUUAACCAUGGGGAAACACAAGCUCAGUUAGAUUUGCAUCUGUCAUAAAUUAGUGUUAUAAAUUAAUGUGAGUUGAUGUGUUAUGAUGGAUUGCUUCAAUUAUGGACUUGGUACAUUGAAGUACUGUGUCAGAAUAUUUACAGAUGUUGUCUUGAUAUCUUACUCUUCCUCAUUUGAAAGACGUAUGGGAUCCCUUGAUGCUGUCCUAUAUGGUGAAUUAAUUCAUGAUUUUACUGAUAUGCUUUGGAUAAGCAAGGGAUAUUGGGAAAAGAAAUAAGCCCCACUUUGAGUUAAACUAAAAAAAAAAAACAUAUUUGAGACUGUAAGAGUGUGGUUAUUUUGUUUUGUGUUGUUCUGUGAAGUGUGAUUUGAGGUAAGGGCUAUAGCUAGAAUCACUACAUCACAGCAUAAUAAAAUGCCUAAAUUGCACGAAUAUGAUUCAAUGUUUCUUUUGUGUUGCAGUAUUAGUCACUAUGUCAUUGUGAUGUCCAUGACCAUCUUCCAGAUGUUGUUGAGCGUCAUGAUGCACAUAUUAACCUCCAAGAGGAUCCUCAUUGGACAGAAUUGAAAGAUGCGCUUUAGGUGACAACUUAGUUCCAGGUCCUUUUUCUUAAAGUUUACAAGGUGCAAAAACAAGCUUUCAGUAGCACAGUAAUAUGACUGAUGUCCAGCGUGGGGUCUUCCUGUUUAUGGGUAUUUCUUAACAUCAUUGUUACUUAAAACGUAUGACUCUGCAUCUUACGAUAUAAAGACUUUGCAUGACUAAUAUAAAAACAGUAAUCUACUGUUAAUACAUUCAGUGGACUUACAAAUAUUUUAGAGCUUGAUUUAAAGGGGAAUAACAAUUCCAUAAUACUGAUUUUGAUUAAAGGGAAAGGACUUGAUUAUGUCUCUCUAUAUGUACUGUAUGAUUUUAUGCCAAAGGUGAGGAUUGUUACUAUGUUACAAGAUGCCAUUAUGGUAAAUGUGUAGUUUUAUAACUCUGUAUUUUAAAAUAAUUUAUUUACAAUAAACCUUCACAGGUAUAAAUUACAUUUUUAAAAUGUAUUAAAAAAGUUAUUUUGUAAUAAUAUUAGAGUUAUCAAUAAUAUUUCCCAAUAUUACGGUUUGAAAAAUGCAGCCUUGAUGAGCAUAAGAAAGUUCUUUCACUUUAGUUUUACUCGCAUCAUCAAUGUCCAUUAAUAACUUCUGCACAUCCCCCUCUGCAGCUGUGACAAGAUCACGGGGAAAACCAAAAACCACAGACCCUGUCAGCUUAAGACUAGACACUAUAUUGAGUACUAUCAUUUAAGCCCCUGACACACCGAGCCAACUUCAAAGAACUAGCGGCGAAGGAAGCCGACGGUGUUGUCGCCUUGCGUCGGAAGCGUCGGACCAGACCGGCUGAAACAGACCGCACAGACUACAGCGGCGGCAAAUUAACACGUGCGUUCUGCGCAUGCGUCAGAUGAACGAGUUGUUCAUAGUAGAAGCUAUUAAUAUUCAUUCAAAAACCGAAACAGUGGCGAAGCGUCCGGGCAUGGAGGGCAUGCAGGUGCAGUUUGGGGGCCCGCCGAGCCCAGGGGAACUUUUUGUUGAAACGGGGAAUGAAUAGAACCCAGCCCGUACCUUUUUUCUGUCUCUUCACCUUACACAGCUGCUGUUGCAGGCAUAACAAUAUUUCAGUUUUGGUUUUUAAUGGCAAACUGAUAAUAUUUAUUUUCAUUUAUUUUUAAAAAUAAAAUUUAGAAAUAUGUUUGAAACAUUUUAUGUUUGUUAUAAUCAAGUGUUCAAAAGGUGUUUAAUAAUAAUAAUUAAUAUCGAAAACAAAAACUCAUUCAUGAUGUAAUCCGUAAAGAGGCAUUUCUUUCUAAAGGCGUCCAAUUAAAGAUGGCAUGUCAGGAUCGUCAAAUUCAUCUUUGUUACACUGACUCAGAAAACACUUUAAUUCUAUAUAUUUUUUUAUCAUAAAAUUGAAAGUAUAGGCACUUUGUAGUAGCAAAGCACAAAGCUGCGAUUAUGGGGUGGUUUGCGUGCUACAAAUAAUAUAUAGCCUAGACUUGAAAACGUUACAUAUUAUUACCAAGCAUUUAUACCAGAAAUAAAACAGCUUGUCAAGCAUGAUCCAUGUAACUUUAUUUAGGCUACUUCACUAAAUUCACUAAUAGGGCCUAGGUGAAGUGAACCGAGCUGGACCUUUGGGUGGGCCCAUACAAUUUUUAUUUUACUUUUGCUAUGGGCCCGGGGCUGACUUGCUUCACCAUUGAACCGAAACAAAGAUUUACUAGAUUAACACAGAUAUACAAAAUGUAAACAAACCAGCGCUUUCUUACCAUUUUGAAAAUCAGUAGCUUUGAUAACUUUAAUUAGCCUAUAAUUUUAUCAAGCAGCUCAUUUUGUUAUGAAAACAUUCGCUUAUUAGAAUGAUUUGGAAAGAUCACGUAAUAUUUAAACAGUCUUCUGUCUGUACCACCGUCAUUCACAUGCUUGUUUUCAUCACUUGCUUUAAUUCUAGGCACUCACUCGUCCGAUAAACUGAACAUCCAAUCAGAGCUCUCACUCUUGGCGACGUCCCCGACGCCGAUUCAACUGCCGACGAGUGGAACACGCCAAACAAAUUAUCGGCUUGGUGUGUGCCGGAUUUAAGAUUAUAAA